AGGUGCCCCGGACAGGUGUGGCCAGCACGUCUUGCCAAGACCCCACCACCCCACCCACCCGCAUCUGUGGCCUUCUGGAACCGAGCUGUGGCCUGGGGUUCCAUGGAGCAGGUGGGGCGCGGAGGAACUGAGCUGUGGCCUGGGGUUCCGUGGAGCAGAAAAUUAGCCAGACGUGGUGGCGGGCGCCUGUAGUCCCAGGUACUCAGGAGGCUGAGGCAGGAGAAUGGCGUGAACCCGGGGGGCGGAGCCUGCAGUGAGCCGAGAUCGC
rnacentral:lncRNA from 1 species